GUUUUCACCUCACGCAUGGCCGAUCGGUCGGCUUUCCCGAAACACCUCCCCGCCCUUCGGCUCUGUGCGUCCCAGCCUAACCAGCGGAGACAAAACGGACCUGGAGUUAUAACCAGAUGCCGCCCUGUCAUGGUCUCUGCUGCUGACCAUCAGUAGGAACAGCACAAGCAACAUAGUGCGUAGGCGAUGCUAAACCAAAAGCAAGCAUGGCGACUGAAACACUGUUUGAAGCAGGUUAUGGUGGCUUGAUUGGUCUUGGAAAGAAGAUGGACUUUGGCCUGUCCGAAGCAAAAACAAGGCCACUACGUCACAAAAAUAGAUUUCCUGUCUUUGACUUUAAAAUUCUCACAGAAGCCUCAUAUGAGUACAAAAUAUAUUACUUCAAGGUUUUGGACAAGUCCUGCUUUAUCUCCUCUCAGAACACCUCAGGGCAUCUUGACAGGAGAUUAGAGAAUCAUGGGGCUCUCAGAUGCCACGUCUCUGUACCAUCAACCACCAAGCAUCGUAGAUAUUCCUCACAUGACCUCCUGACUUCCGAGUUCCAGCUUCUGUAUCCUCCAUAUCACGCAGCGACACUUUACUAAGGUAAAAAUAAGAUCUCACCCCAUGUCUCCCAAGAAACAAAGAAGGCACGUUUGAGG